rnacentral:lncRNA from 1 species
CUGUUCUUUGUUCCCUGCAGAUACUGUACUCCGGGCAAGCAGCAACCCUGUGAGCGACGUGGAGGCCUGGCCAUAUAAAUGCAUCUCUGACAGCUUCCUGUUGCUCCCUAAUUUGAGCUUUGGCAGGCCACCAGAGGAAGUGAAUCCCUGAGACUCUCCUGAUGCAAGACGAGCAAAGAAAAGGAAGCAGGCAAGGAGGGAAAAAGCAAUGGCAACAAAUACUGGUGAUCUCUUACAUGGGCAAGAUUGCAAAAUAGCUGCCCCCAGAAAGCAGGCCCAGGCAUUAGAAUCGCUAACAGCUGGCGCUUGCAAAACAACUGUGUUAAUUGCUUUAAAUACCUAAGAAUAGCAAACUUGCAUUGAAAACUUAUGGUUGAGCCGCAAGAAACAUCUUGGUAAAAAAGCACUUCUUUUUUUAGGAAGAGACCAAGGAGAAAGACAAACCACUUCUUUAAAGGUAAUAAAGUUAAUGAGUACUCUUUCCCUCUAUCA